CGGGGAGUAGCGCAGACUGGUCAGCGCGCCUGCUUCGGGAGCAGGAGGCCGGGGGUUCAAAUCCCCCCUCCCCGACCA
rnacentral:tRNA from 1 species